rnacentral:rRNA from 1 species
CCUACGGGCGGCAGCAGUGAGGAAUAUUGGUCAAUGGACGAGAGUCUGAACCAGCCAAGUAGCGUGAAGGAUGACUGCCCUAUGGGUUGUAAACUUCUUUUAUAUGGGAAUAAAACGUUCCACGUGUGGGAUUUUGUAUGUACCAUAUGAAUAAGGAUCGGCUAACUCCGUGCCAGCAGCCGCGGUAAUACGGAGGAUCCGAGCGUUAUCCGGAUUUAUUGGGUUUAAAGGGAGCGUAGGUGGAUUGUUAAGUCAGUUGUGAAAGUUUGCGGCUCAACCGUAAAAUUGCAGUUGAAACUGGCAGUCUUGAGUACAGUAGAGGUGGGCGGAAUUCGUGGUGUAGCGGUGAAAUGCUUAGAUAUCAUGAAGAACUCCGAUUGCGAAGGCAGUUCACUGGACUGCAACUGACACUGAGGCUCGAAAGUGUGGGUAUCAAACAGGAUUAGAUACCCGAGUAGUC